UAGCAAUAUUGUUUCUAUACUACUCUCUACAAAUUGACUAGAGGUGCCUCGUAUUUAUAGGCCAACCCUAGAAGAAUUCUAAAAGGCAAGAAAAUAUGUUUAAAUUAGGAUAUCCAAUUUCAACAGGAUUUUGUUUUCUUAUUUAACUUAGUUCCCUUAAGAUCUAGGUUAAUAUUUUCCUAGUUCAAGUCGAAUACGCCUCUUCAAAAGACUCCUAUUUAAGUCAUACUCCUAACAAUAACCACCACUUACAUUAUCCCUUUGCAAUUUCCAUUUUAAAUACAUUGCCCUGCCACAUCAUUUGAAAUUUAACAACAUAACCGUCCCUUUAUAUAUUUUUUUUAAAAUCAUAAGUUUAUUUUGAUAACUUAAAAUAACUUCUUUAACCACGUUUUCUCUCCCAAUUUAUUUUGCGUCUUUCUCAUAGACUAAAGGAAACCUCUAAAUCGAAAAAUUAUUUGAAGAAGAGGCUUAGAGUACGCUGCAUUUUACUUCAAAUUGGACGUAAAAGGGUAUUCAAACUCAAAGCAUUUAAGGUAGAGGUGUUCUCGACACUUUUGUAAGUGACGUAAGAAUUAUUUGUUUUCAUUUGGCAUUAAACAUGUUGUUGUGUUACUCAUGAAGUAAACGAUUGAAGGUGACACUAAUGACCAAAAUUUGUAUUUAUGUUAUUGUGUUACUCAUGAAAGAAGCACCGUUGACAAUGACAC
rnacentral:lncRNA from 1 species